GAGUGGCGAACGGGUGAGUAAUGCAUCGGAACGUGCCCAGUCGUGGGGGAUAACGCUUCGAAAGGAGUGCUAAUACCGGAUAUGAGCCUGGAAGACAUCUUCUGGGUUGGAAAGUUUUUCGGUUAGGGAUGGGCUCGCGGCCUAUCAGCUUGUUGGUGAGGUAAAGGCUCACCAAGGCGACGACGGGUAUCCGGCCUGAGAGGGCGACCGGACACACUGGGACUGAGACACGGCCCAGACUCC
rnacentral:rRNA from 1 species